CAAAACAAACCUCUAUAUAAAGCUCUAACACUCUUCCUUAACUUCUGACAUACUGAUCACAAUUGUUUCAACUCUUUCUUUCUCUAAACUAGGAAUAUUGAUUAAAGAUGGAAGCUGCAAAAACCAUGACAAAAAACAUGACAAAAUACAACGAUGGUUAUUCUUUUUGUUUGACCAUUAAUGCUAAUAAGAUUAAUAAUAAUAUGAAAGUGAGUGGUGCUGAUCCUUUGAAUUGGGGUGUGGCGGCGGAGGCAAUGAAGGGGAGUCACUUGGAUGAGGUGAAGCGUAUGGUGGAGGAGUACCGGAAACCAACUGUCCGUCUUGGUGGCGAGACACUGACGAUUUCUCAGGUGGCUGCAAUUGCUGCACGCGAUGGUGCGACGGUGGAGCUGUUGGAAUCUGCUAGAGCUGGCGUUAAGGCCAGCAGUGACUGGGUGAUGGACAAUAUGGAUAAUGCUAUUGACCUUUGUGGUCUCAACUCUCAACACUGUGUUUGGUGCUGCCUCACAUUGUGGAAUCAAACAAGGUGAUGCUUUGCAGAAAGAGCUCAUAAGGUUUUCAAAUUCAGGAAUAUUUGGCGAUGGAACCGAGUCAUGCAACACACUGCCACAAACUGCAACAAGAGCAGCUAUGCUAGUGAGAAUCAACACACUUCUCCAAGGUUAUUCAGGCAUUAGAUUUGAAAUCUUAGAAGCCAUAACCAAGCUCCUUAACAACAAUGUCACCCCAUGUUUACCACUUCGUGGUACAAUCACAGCUUCAGGAGAUUUAGUCCCACUUUCUUACAUUGCUGGUUUGCUUAUUGGAAGACCGAAUUCCAAAGCUCAUGGACCCUCUGGAGAAGUACUUAAUGCAAAAGAAGCUUUUCAAUUGGCUGGUAUCAAUGCUGAAUUUUUUGACUUACAACCAAAAGAAGGCCUUGCCCUUGUUAAUGGCACUGUUGUUGGUUCCGGUCUAGCUUCUAUUGUUCUCUUUGAGGCUAACAUAUUGGUUGUGUUGUCUGAAGUUCUAUCAGCAAUUUUUGCUGAAGUUAUGCAAGGAAAACCUGAAUUUACUGAUCAUUUGACACAUAAGUUGAAGCACCAUCCUGGUCAAAUUGAGGCUGCUGCUAUUAUGGAACACAUUUUGGAUGGAAGUGCUUAUGUAAAAGAAGCUAAGAAAUUGCAUGAGAUGGAUCCUUUGCAAAAACCAAAACAAGAUAGAUAUGCACUUAGAACUUCACCACAAUGGCUUGGUCCUCUAAUUGAAGUCAUUAGAUUCUCUACCAAGUCAAUUGAGAGAGAGAUUAACUCUGUUAAUGACAACCCUUUGAUUGAUGUUUCAAGAAAUGAGGUUUUGUCUGGUGGAAAUUUUCAAGGAACACCUAUUGGAGUUUCCAUGGACAAUACACGUUUGGCUCUUGCAUCAAUUGGCAAACUCAUGUUUGCCCAAUUCUCGGAACUUGUCAAUGAUUUUUACAACAAUGGGUUGCCUUCAAAUCUCUCUGCUAGUAGAAAUCCCAGCUUGGAUUAUGGUUUGAAGGGAGCUGAAAGUGCCAUGGCUUCUUAUUGUUCUGAGCUACAAUAUCUUGCAAACCCAGUUACAAGCCAUGUUCAAAGUGCUGGGCAACACACCCAAGAUGUGAAUUCUUUGGGUUUGAUUUCUGCUAGGAAAACAAAUGAAGCAAUUGAGAUUCUAAAGCUCAUGUCUUCCACGUUCUUAAUUGCACUUUGUCAAGCAAUUGACUUAAGGCAUUUGGAAGAGAACUUGAAAAACUCGGUCAAGAGCACUAUAUGCCAAGUUGCAAAAAAGACACUUAACAUAGGUAUCAAUGGAGAACUUCAUCCUUCAAGAUUCUGUGAAAAAGACUUGUUAAAAGUGGUUGAUAGGGAGCAUGUAUUUGCCUAUAUUGAUGAUCCUUGUAGUGCUACAUACCCAUUGAUGCAAAAACUCAGGCAAGUGUUGGUGGAUCAUGCAUUAGGAAAUGGAGAAAGUGAGAAGAACUUGAACACAUCCAUCUUUCAAAAAAUUGCAACUUUUGAGGAUGAGUUGAAGAUCCUCUUGCCAAAAGAGGUUGAAAGUGCAAGAGCUACAUAUGAGAGUGGAAAUCCAACAAUUCCAAACAAGAUCAAUGAAUGCAGAUCUUAUCCACUUUACAAGUUUGUGAGGGAGGAGUUGGGGACUGGUUUGCUAACUGGAGAAAAGGCCAUUUCACCAGGCGAGGAGUGUGAUAAAUUGUUCAAAGCUAUGUGUCAAGGAAAAAUCAUUGAUCCUCUUCUUAAAUGCUUAGGCGAGUGGAACGGUGUCCCUCUUCCAAUUUGUUAACUUUAUUGGUUGCUGUUUAAAAUGUUUACUUUAUGAGUCGCAAUAAUUGUCCCCAUGGCAGUGUUGCAAGGGACAUUUGUGUGUUUGUGUGUGGGUGGGGAUUCGAACCCAUGAAUCACAUUUUCCCCUUCCCAGUGUGUGUUGGCCACUAGGUCAAGCUCAAAAAAAUGUGUUGCAAUAAUCAUUAGGUAUGUCAGACCUUUUGAAAAUUUGUGUGAAAAGCUUCAUUUGAGUGUUCUAAUAGUCAAAGUAAAACUUGUAAUUUACUUCUGUAAUAAAAUUUCAGUUGUUUAUGGAA